GAGGAGGUAGCUCAAUUGGGAGAGCACUCUGGUUAUAAAAGAUCUUUUACGUGGAUUGCCUUGCCAGCAAUAAAUACACAAGAGGAUCUCCAGAGAGGUUGUAGGUUCGAGUCCUAUCCUCUUCA
rnacentral:tRNA from 1 species